AUGGUAUAAUAAAAUCGGAGGCCACGACUGUUUACUAAAAACACAAUUCAGAGCAAUGAUUAAGAUAAUAGUAUUCUGGAUGAAAUUUGCUCAAUGCCAUUAAUAUAAGAGAGGUAAUUUUAAAGUUACUAAUUGAAAGUCUGGUUAAUAGCGGUCUUAACUAUGAGGAUCCUAAGGUAGCAAAAUAAAUUGGCCAUUAAAUGUGGUCUUGUAUCAAUAAUGUAACGAUGGUCUCACUGUCUCUACAAC
rnacentral:rRNA from 1 species